rnacentral:rRNA from 1 species
GCAGUAGCCACGGUAAUACGGAGGGGGCUAGCGUUGUUCGGAAUUACUGGGCGUAAAGCGCACGUAGGCGGCUUGGUAAGUUAGAGGUGAAAGCCCGGAGCUCAACUCCGGAAUUGCCUUUAAGACUGCCGAGCUAGUAGGUGAGAGAGGUAAGUGGAAUUCCGAGUGUAGAGGUGAAAUUCGUAGAUAUUCGGAGGAACACCAGUGGCGAAGGCGGCUUACUGGCUCAUUCUAGACGCUGAGGUGCGAAAGCGUGGGGAGCAAACAGGAUUAGAUACCCGUGUAGUCCUGUCUCUUAUACA